rfam:Aedes aegypti strain Liverpool supercont1.149 genomic scaffold, whole genome shotgun sequence.
UGCCCAGCAACUCCUAUCCCUGCCUCCUCGUGGUAAUGGUCGGGGUACGAAUAACCUUAGAGAAGAUCUGGUAAACAACCCCGGUGGGAACUUUGGUCGUAUGCUGACAGGGAAGG